GAUGAAGAACGUAGCAAAAUGCGAUAAGUAAUGUGAAUUGCAGAAUUCAGUGAAUCAUCGAAUCUUUGAACGCACAUUGCGCCCGCCAGUAUUCUGGCGGGCAUGCCUGUUCGAGCGUCGUUUCAACCCUUAAGCCCCCGGGUUUGGUGUUGGGGAUCGGGCUGUACUCCAGCCCGGCCCCGAAGUCUAGUGGCGGUCUCGCUGCAGCCUCCAUUGCGUAGUAGCUAACACCUCGCAACUGGAACGCGGCGCGGCCAAGCCGUUAAACCCCCAACUUCUGAAUGUUGACCUCGGAUCAGGUAGGAAUACCCGCUGAACUUAAGCAUAUCAAUAAGCGGAGGA
rnacentral:misc_RNA from 1 species